UACGUAGGGUGCAAGCGUUGUCCGGAAUUAUUGGGCGUAAAGAGCUUGUAGGCGGUUUGUCGCGUCUGCUGUGAAAUUUCGGGGCUCAACCCCGAACUUGCAGUGGGUACGGGCAGACUAGGGUGUGGUAGGGGAGACUGGAAUUCCUGGUGUAGCGGUGAAAUGCGCAGAUAUCGGGAAGAACACCCGUGGCGAAGGCGGCUCUCUGGGACGGUACCGACGCUGAGACGCGAAAGCGUGGGGAGCGAACAGG
rnacentral:rRNA from 1 species